rnacentral:rRNA from 1 species
CAUGGCUCAGGACGAACGCUGGCGGCGUGCUUAACACAUGCAAGUCGAACGGUGAAGGGACCGGUUUUUGCUGGUUCUGGAUGAGUGGCGAACGGGUGAGUAACACGUGAGUAAACUGCCCCCUUCUUCUGGAUAACCGCAUGAAAGAGGGGCUAAUACGGGAUAUUCUGGGUCUGUCGCAUGAUGGGUCUGUGAAAGAUGCGCCUUUGGGUGUUUUUGGUGGGGGAUGGGCUCGCGGCCUAUCAGCUUGUUGGUGGGGUGAUGGCCUACCAAGGCGGUGACGGGUAGCCGGCCUGAGAGGGUGGACGGUCACACUGGUACUUAGACACGGCCCAGACUCCUACGG